GCAGGCUGCAACCCGCCCUGCGUGAAGUUGGAAUCGCAGUAAUCGCGGAUCAGCAUGCCGCGGUGAAUACGUUCCCGGGCCUUGUACACACCGCCCGUCACACCAUGAGAGUCGGGAACACCCGAAGUCCGUAGCCUAACCGCAAGGGGGGCGCGGCCGAAGGUGGGUUCGAUAAUUGGGGGUGAAGUCGUAACAAGGUAGC
rnacentral:rRNA from 1 species